CAUAUUAUUUUCCCCACCAAAGACAGUAUUUGUCGGCAGAUUGUACUUCAGACAAUCAACAGAUGAAGAACUGGACCCUGCCUCAGAUGGGGAAGGUAAAAUCCCUCUCCUCCUCCUCCAUCAUGUGUUGGAAUGUGGAGAAGAACUGAGGUCUGCAUUCUCAUGCCUACUGUGGCAUUAUUCACAAUAAACAAAGGUGCAAUCAAGAGAGUUUAUAGAAAACAUGAGCUGCCAACUCAGCUGCAGGGAGGCUUCUUGAUGAAGGAACAAGACCUUCCACCCGCACAAGCCAAAACAUACUGUGGGACGAAUUCAAGAGGAAAACACAGGUAUGAAAAGAGAGGUCCUCCUGCCUCCUCUUAGGCAAUGAUAAAUAAGAAGUGCUUCUGUCAUCCGUGGGGCAAAGCUUUGAAAAGCAAUUCACAUUUAUAUAACUGCUACCUGAACACCAAAAGAGUAAAGGCUGGGGGAUAAAGAGCACACCUUCACUUUGCUAGUGGGUGGUGAGUUUCAGGAGAGGAACGACUGGACAGCAAAGGAUCUUUAGUAGCACCAUUCUGCUGAAGGUGCACGCAAUGGGAAUGACAUCCAGGGACACCUCCCUUCGCUCUAUAUUUAGGAACACAUGCAUGUCCUGGUUCAAGAUGAUAAUUAUAGCAAAGGACAUGGAGAAUCUGAGAACAAAGGAGAGAUGCAAGAAAGGAAGUCAUCAGUUUCCAGCUUGCUCCCAAGUGCUUGGAUAAUGGCCUUGUUUUUUUCAGGCUGAAAACCAAAGAACUGACACUGAGUCAAAUGUUGUAGCACCAAACUCCUCCAGGAGUGCUGACAUCUUACAUCUGUGGAAGAACCCGUACUGCUGACGUCAUUCUGGUCAUUUCACUGACAAGCAGCAUCACAAACUCAAAUGCAGAAGUGUACAUUUUAAUAAAAUUUCUCAAAAAAUCAAAAAUAAAAAUCCAUAUGAUCCAGUGUCAGAACACUGUCAAAAGAAUGGUCCAUGGGGAACAAUGCCUUGGGGAACAUAUUUAGUUUACCCAGGGAAAUCAGUGUAACCACUGGGUUAGAACUACCAACUGAAGCCCCGUGGGGUCAUCUAGCUGGAAAUCUUUGAAAAAUAAAAGCAACAAUAAGGUUGAAACUCAGGUCAGACAGCACGAGUGCUAGUUUAGCUGUAUUAUAUAUUAAUUCUUUUAUCUGUUAUAGGUCUAUACUAGUGAUUCCCAAAUUGUUCUUUAGGGAAAGGGGAAGGAAUUAUCUCUCUGGUGUGAAUAAAUUUGCUUCAUCAACAUCUAACAAGAAUAAACAGUUUACUUUUCAGA